CCUACGGGCGGCAGCAGUGAGGAAUAUUGGUCAAUGGACGAGAGUCUGAACCAGCCAAGUAGCGUGAAGGAUGACUGCCCUAUGGGUUGUAAACUUCUUUUAUAUGGGAAUAAAAUGUUCCACGUGUGGGAUUUUGUAUGUACCAUAUGAAUAAGGAUCGGCUAACUCCGUGCCAGCAGCCGCGGUAAUACGGAGGAUCCGAGCGUUAUCCGGAUUUAUUGGGUUUAAAGGGAGCGUAGGUGGAUUGUUAAGUCAGUUGUGAAAGUUUUCGGCUCAACCGUAAAAUUGCAGUUGAAACUGGCAGUCUUGAGUACAGUAGAGGUGGGUGGAAUUCGUGGUGUAGCGGUGAAAUGCUUAGAUAUCACGAAGAACUCCGAUUGCGAAGGCAGUUCACUGGACUGCAACUGACACUGAGGCUCGAAAGUGUGGGUAUCAAACAGGAUUAGAUACCCCUGUAGUC
rnacentral:rRNA from 1 species